GAGUAUAUUUUAAUUGGUAGAAAGUAUAUUUUGCAAAUAUAAAGUUAUCGGUUCGAAUCCGAUUCUUCUCA
rnacentral:tRNA from 1 species